CCACAUCAACAACAGCCCAAGGUCAGUUCAUCUACGCCAACAACCCACCACACGCCACAUCAACAACAGCCCAAGGUCAGUUCAUCUACCCCAACAACCCACCACACACCACAUCAACAACAGCCCAAGGUCAGUUCAUCUACGCCAACAACCCACCACACGCCACAUCAACAACAGCCCAAGGUCAGUUCAUCUACGCCAACAACCCACCACACGCCACAUCAACAACAGCCCAAGGUCAGUUCAUCUACCCCAACAACCCACCACACACCACAUCAACAACAGCCCAAGGUCAGUUCAUCUACCCCAACAACCCACCACACACCACAUCAACAACAGCC